GACGAACGCUGGCGGCGUGCCUAAUACAUGCAAGUAGAACGCUGAUGGAGGAGCUUGCUCUUCUGGAUGAGUUGCGAACGGGUGAGUAACGCGUAGGUAACCUGCCUGGUAGCGGGGGAUAACUAUUGGAAACGAUAGCUAAUACCGCAUAAGAGUAGAUGUUGCAUGACAUUUGCUUAAAAGGUGCAAUUGCAUCACUACCAGAUGGACCUGCGUUGUAUUAGCUAGUUGGUGGGGUAACGGCUCACCAAGGCGACGAUACAUAGCCGACCUGAGAGGGUGAUCGGCCACACUGGGACUGAGACACGGCCCAGACUCCUACGGGAGGCAGCAGUAGGGAAUCUUCGGCAAUGGACGGAAGUCUGACCGAGCAACGCCGCGUGAGUGAAGAAGGGUUUCGGAUCGUAAAGCUCUGUUGUAAGAGAAGAACGAGUGUGAGAGUGGAAAGUUCACACUGUGACGGUAUCUUACCAGAAAGGGACGGCUAACUACGUG
rnacentral:rRNA from 1 species